ACCCAUACUAAAAUCACCCUUUUUGACCCGACCCUAUUAUUUCUUCCCUGUCAUUUUGCUACUUAUUAUCAUUCUAGAACCUUCUAAUCUUGUGAACUAAUUCAAUUCGAUUACAUUUUGCCUGUAGAGAAUGGCGAGGUUAUAACUUUACUUGAUGUAGCAAAAUCUUUAUAUGACUCAACUGCGCGUAUGGAAAGGGCAGCUGAAAGGGGAAAGGCAAUAGCAGCCGUUGUUGAAGGUAUUGAAACCCACUUGGAAACUUCUUUUUCUGGUCAGGUACAUACUGGGUUCCACUUUCACACACUUUUCGACCUCCAUCGCCACUAAACUCGUUAUCCAAAAUAAAACAUCAGCAAACACCUUAUCUAAUGCACCUGGGUUCUCAAUUAGUGCACUCACCCUCCAGUCAAUACUAUCAUGUCUAGCCAUAGCUCUUCACGCUCUAGCCGAAAGGCUUGUUUUAGGCGUGGUGUAACAACACACCAAAACACCUCAACCGAACCUUGAGCGGAACAACGGACAUACACAACAAGACCCUGGAAACUGAAGGUCGGAAGCUAGAAGCUUAUGUUACUGUACACAUUGGGUCUCAAAGCUGCAAGUCAAAAUGAUGUGAUUUUGCCCAAAAGUGAAUAAAGUUGCAUAGAGACACAUAAUCCUGACAAUACCUAAUGAGGAAAGGUCAUCCGCACAAGCAACAUCAUCAGAGAUAAGCCUUACAAUAUAUGAAAGUUAUGAGUUGGCGAGAAGCUUCCCUGGGCAGACCUUUCUACGUAUAAAAGGGAGACUUUUUCCAGCAACAAUGAUCUCGACAAGGAAGCUAUCAUUUGGAGUGGAUCCUGGACCUUUCCCCUGCCAUACUCUUGUUGUUUUAACAGGUAGGGUGACUGAUUGUCCAUGACCCGCUUACUCAAAGAGGGCCAAAAUUAAAAAUAAAACUAUAUGUUCUUUAAAUAUAUAGGGACCUAUUUUUUAUUCGUUUCCUACCCAAGAUUUUUGAGAAUUUUUAGGGGCAACCCUAACAUGUAUGGUAAAAUUACCACAGCUUGUUUUACAAACAAUGUAAAUAUAUGCUCAUUGUGUAGAUUUUACAAAUAUAUCUAUUCCAUCAAAUUCUUUGAGUGGAUUUUUUUAUAAUAUAAAAA